UUUUAUGGAGAGUUUGAUCCUGGCUCAGGAUGAACGCUGGCGGCGUGCCUAAUACAUGCAAGUCGAGCGAACAGAUGAGGAGCUUGCUCCACUGAUGUUAGCGGCGGACGGGUGAGUAACACGUGGGUAACCUACCUAUAAGACUGGAAUAACUCCGGGAAACCGGGGCUAAUGCCGGAUAAUAUGCAGAACCGCAUGGUUCUGCAAUGAAAGACGGUUUUGCUGUCAUUUAUAGAUGGACCCGCGCCGUAUUAGCUAGUUGGUAAGGUAACGGCUUACCAAGGCAACGAUACGUAGCCGACCUGAGAGGGUGAUCGGCCACACUGGAACUGAGACACGGUCCAGACUCCUACGGGAGGCAGCAGUAGGGAAUCUUCCGCAAUGGGCGAAAGCCUGACGGAGCAACGCCGCGUGAGUGAUGAAGGUCUUCGGAUCGUAAAACUCUGUUAUUAGGGAAGAACAAGUGCGUAGGUAACUAUGCGCACCUUGACGGUACCUAAUCAGAAAGCCACGGCUAACUACGUGCCAGCAGCCGCGGUAAUACGUAGGUGGCAAGCGUUAUCCGGAAUUAUUGGGCGUAAAGCGCGCGUAGGCGGUUUUUUAAGUCUGAUGUGAAAGCCCACGGCUCAACCGUGGAGGGUCAUUGGAAACUGGAAAACUUGAGUGCAGAAGAGGAAAGUGGAAUUCCAUGUGUAGCGGUGAAAUGCGCAGAGAUAUGGAGGAACACCAGUGGCGAAGGCGACUUUCUGGUCUGCAACUGACGCUGAUGUGCGAAAGCGUGGGGAUCAAACAGGAUUAGAUACCCUGGUAGUCCACGCCGUAAACGAUGAGUGCUAAGUGUUAGGGGGUUUCCGCCCCUUAGUGCUGCAGCUAACGCAUUAAGCACUCCGCCUGGGGAGUACGGCCGCAAGGCUGAAACUCAAAGGAAUUGACGGGGACCCGCACAAGCGGUGGAGCAUGUGGUUUAAUUCGAAGCAACGCGAAGAACCUUACCAAAUCUUGACAUCCUUUGACCGCUCUAGAGAUAGAGUCUUCCCCUUCGGGGACAAAGUGACAGGUGGUGCAUGGUUGUCGUCAGCUCGUGUCGUGAGAUGUUGGGUUAAGUCCCGCAACGAGCGCAACCCUUAAGCUUAGUUGCCAGCAUUAAGUUGGGCACUCUAAGUUGACUGCCGGUGACAAACCGGAGGAAGGUGGGGAUGACGUCAAAUCAUCAUGCCCCUUAUGAUUUGGGCUACACACGUGCUACAAUGGACAGUACAAAGGGCAGCGAAACCGCGAGGUCAAGCAAAUCCCAUAAAGCUGUUCUCAGUUCGGAUUGUAGUCUGCAACUCGACUACAUGAAGCUGGAAUCGCUAGUAAUCGUAGAUCAGCAUGCUACGGUGAAUACGUUCCCGGGUCUUGUACACACCGCCCGUCACACCACGAGAGUUCGUAACACCCGAAGCCGGUGGAGUAACCUUUUAGGAGCUAGCCGUCGAAGGUGGGACGAAUGAUUGGGGUGAAGUCGUAACAAGGUAGCCGUAUCGGAAGGUGCGGCUGGAUCACCUCCUUUCUAA
rnacentral:rRNA from 1 species